rnacentral:pre_miRNA from 1 species
CUACUACUCCCUCCGUCCGAAAAUACUUGUCAUUGAAAUGGACAUAUCUAGAUGUAUUUUAGUUCUAGACACAUCCAUUUUGAUGACAAGUAAUUCCGGACGGAGGGAGUAUUAU